AAAAUAUGAGAUACACUAAUAUAUCUUUUUAAGAAAAUGAAAGUUCUAAGAUUUAAAUUGAUAUUGAGAUCUUUCUAACGCUAUUAAAUAAAAUGGAAUUGGGGUAAAAACAUAUAGGGAUAUGUUUCUGCGUUCUCUAGCGGGACCGUAGAAAAUAUAUCUAACCGACUUAUCGUGAUAUGUGGAACGCAAUAUUACUUACGGAAACAAAUAUGAUAUUUUUCCAUCGUUCUUUCUUAUCGUACAUAACGCAAUCUUUUCACAAUCCCAAACGAAGCCUAAAUGAAACGUAAAACCUACUUUUCUAGGGAAAAAGAAGAAG
rnacentral:lncRNA from 1 species